rfam:Capsicum annuum cultivar Zunla-1 chromosome 6, whole genome shotgun sequence
GUACUUACCUUGAUAGCGUCAAUGAGUGAUCAAUAAGGCCUAUAGCCUAGGCUAGUGACUUUCAUUGCACAUUAGAAGGGUGCCUGUUUAUGGUCAGCUCAAGUGUCCGAGCCAAUGUCAUAAUUUGUGGUAGAGGGAGUCUGUGUUUGCACGGGCCCUAC